rnacentral:rRNA from 1 species
UACGUAGGGUGCAAGCGUUGUCCGGAAUUAUUGGGCGUAAAGGGCGCGUAGGCGGCCAUGCGUGUCUUCCGUGAAAUCCCUCGGCUUAACUGAGGACGUGCGGAAGAAACUGCAAGGCUUGAGUCCGGGAGAGGGGGGUGGAAUUCCCAGUGUAGCGGUGAAAUGCGUAGAUAUUGGGAGGAACACCGGUGGCGAAGGCGGCCCCCUGGACCGGUACUGACGCUGAGGCGCGAAAGCGUGGGUAGCAAACGGG